UGAGUUAGUCUCAAACUUGAUUGAGGAAGGGAGUAGAACAUGGAAAACAGAUUUAAUUUUUAAUACCUUUGAUGAGGAUAUUGCAAAGAACAUCCUGUCGAUCCCUUUGGCAAUGUCUUUACAUGAUAAUUUCCAAGCUUAGGGUAGAGAACCAUCAGGUACCUUUUCGGUUAGAAGUGCCUACAAACUAUUACAAAGGACUACUCGGAUUCCUAGUAAUAAUACUUUACAGACCAAAAACACAGCUUUUUACAGAAAACUAUGGGAUUUACACAUUCCUUCGAAAAUUAAAGUUACAAUCUGGAAAAUUUCCUGGAAUUAUAUCCCUACGCUAGCUAAUUUGAAAUUGAAGCGAGUUGCAAAUGAAGCCUGGUGCCCCAGAUGUCGGCAGUUAGAGGAAGAUAGCAACCAUGUUUUCAGAAUAUGUCCUAUAUCGACAGAAGUUUGGAGGUAUUUAAACUUCUCUUGGGUGCUUAACAAUAGUAUUCAGAGUAUUUGGGUGUGGUUCACCUGGGUCUUUAAGCGAGGAACAAAAGAACAGUGCCGAUUAUUUUCUUGUGGGAUUUGGCUUUUCUAGUCAAACAGGAAUCAAUUGCUGCACGAAAGUAAAAAUAGAAUAGGUAGAGAAAUCUCUCGACAAAUAAGCAGCUAUAUCUCAGAGUUGCAAAGCUUAGAAGAAAAACUACUUAUCUCUGAUACAGGAAGGAUUUUUAACCAUGAAGAUCGAAGGACGAGGGUAGUGACCAACAUCUCUCCAGGUCUGCCUCGGGACUGCUUGUUCGUGACACGCGAGGGGAUAUUUUGGUUUCAAAGUCGGUUAUCCAUGAAAAUGUCGCCUCACCAUUCGCGACGGAAGUACAUGCAGGAGCACAAGCAGUAAGGUUAGUGAUUUUAUUGGGUCUUUAUGAAUGCGACAUUAAUGGAGAUUUAAGAACUGUUAUAAAAAAUGCCAGAGUACAGAUAGGGAUAACUCGAUUAUUGGGGCUAUAAUAAGGGACAUUCAAGAUAUGAAGCAUUUCUUCCAAAAACUAAACUUUUACCAUAUUCCAAAGUCAGAAAACACCUUUGCUAAUGUGAUUGCAAAGGAAGCGUUGAAAGAAAAUGAAGGUCAUUACCUGGAUGGAGGAAUUCCUGAGCAUGUUCGAAGAGUUCUGGAAAGGAGAAGGCCACAGGCUCCAGAUUU
rnacentral:lncRNA from 1 species